AUUGAACGCUGGCGGCAGGCCUAACACAUGCAAGUCGAACGAGUGGCGGACGGGUGAGUAAUGUCUUGGAAACUGCCUGAUGGAGGGGGAUAACUACUGGAAACGGUAGAUAAUACCGCCUACCAUCGGAUGUGCCCAGAUGGGAUUAGCUAGUAGGGGGGGUAAAGGCUAACCUAGGCGACGAUCCCUAGCUGGUCUGAGAGGAUGACCAGCCACACUGGAACGGAGCCACGGUCCAGACUCCUACGGUAGGCAGCAGUGGGGAAUAUUGCACAAUGGGCGCAAGCCUGAUGCAGCAAUGCCGCGUGUAUGAAGAAGGCCUUCGGGUUGUAAAGUACUUUCAGCGGGGAGGCGUUACCCGAAGAAGAAGCACCGGCUAACUCCGUGCCAGCCGCGGCGGUAAUAC
rnacentral:rRNA from 1 species